rnacentral:rRNA from 1 species
AGAUUAAGUUAUUAAGGGCGCACGGUGGAUGCCUUGGCACUAGAAGCCGAUGAAGGACGUUACUAACGACGAUAUGCUUUGGGGAGCUGUAAGUAAGCUUUGAUCCAGAGAUUUCCGAAUGGGGAAACCCAGCAUGAGUUAUGUCAUGUUAUCGAUAUGUGAAUACAUAGCAUAUCAGAAGGCACACCCGGAGAACUGAAACAUCUUAGUACCCGGAGGAAGAGAAAGAAAAUUCGAUUCCCUUAGUAGCGGCGAGCGAAACGGGAAGAGCCCAAACCAACAAGCUUGCUUGUUGGGGUUGUAGGACACUCUAUACGGAGUUACAAAGGACGACAUUAGACGAAUCAUCUGGAAAGAUGAAUCAAAGAAGGUAAUAAUCCUGUAGUCGAAAAUGUUGUCUCUCUUGAGUGGAUCCUGAGUACGACGGACCACGUGAAAUUCCGUCGGAAUCUGGGAGGACCAUCUCCUAAGGCUAAAUACUCUCUAGUGACCGAUAGUGAACCAGUACCGUGAGGGAAAGGUGAAAAGCACCCCGGAAGGGGAGUGAAAUAGAACCUGAAACCGUGUGCUUACAAGUAGUCAGAGCCCGUUAAUGGGUGAUGGCGUGCCUUUUGUAGAAUGAACCGGCGAGUUACGAUUUGAUGCAAGGUUAAGCAGUAAAUGUGGAGCCGUAGCGAAAGCGAGUCUGAAUAGGGCGUUUAGUAUUUGGUCGUAGACCCGAAACCAGGUGAUCUACCCUUGGUCAGGUUGAAGUUCAGGUAACACUGAAUGGAGGACCGAACCGACUUACGUUGAAAAGUGAGCGGAUGAACUGAGGGUAGCGGAGAAAUUCCAAUCGAACCUGGA